UCUGCAUGUCAGAGGAACUGCCUGACAGCCGGCGUUUCUCCCCUCCAGGCUGCUGCAGGAAUUCUUCUGCUUGCUUACGAGAACAUAUGCUUGCAAAAGAAAAAAAAAUUACCCUUCUCUGCUAUUUGGCACCUAAAGCCUGAUUUUAAUUUCUGGGUGCAGCUUUUUCUCUGAACAUAUUGCUAAAUACCAGCACAUUGCCCAUCUGUUCCAACUUGGUGUCUUCAGGGCUGAGUGCUGUAGAGGAAAGGUUAUCAUUAACUUGCCUUAAAAAACUUGAUUCAUUUACAAAAACAGUGACUAGGGAAACUCGUAUUCUCCUUGCUCUGCAGGAUUAUCUUCAGCGCCGACUCUGAGGAAAUCCUAUAAGCCACAGACAGACCUGGGUUUUGUGGAGUGACUGGAAGGACACAAGUUGACUGAGGAGUCUGACAGAUUUGUGGACAUCAGUGAGCCUAAAUAAUCAAGUGCAUGGCAUCCAUAUAUGAUUUGGGGUCUGCAAAUCUUCACCUGUUAUUUACAGCCCUGUAUGAACUUGCACAGCCUAAAUGAGGCAUGUGACAUCUCCCGGGCUCCUCCUGGCUGCUGGUGAGUCACUUGACGGGUAACUCAGAUCCACUGGGGUCUGUGACAUAGAUGGUCAGACCAGAAGGCCUCAUGGCAAUGACCUGUCCAGCUCCAAGCUGGACAAGAAUCCAGCAUCCUACCAACAGUCAAGAGACCAAAUGUUUCAGUGUGCGUUCCAGCAAUGUCUGUGAUGAUUUAAGAAUUUGUUAAAUAGAAAUGUACAACCAAUCCUAGGAAAUAAACCUCAUCUACUUUAAGAAAUGGCCAGAACUUCCUGAAGAGCUAUCAAUGUCAUCAUUAUGAUGGGAAAUUCUCCUGAAACAUAUAUAUUGAGGGAGCUGAGGUAAGAUUUUGUAAAUUUUUGCAAGACACUAUAAUGAAGAAAUGAUAUUUACAUGUUCCAAUUAUCUAUUUGGAUAUACGUGUUUAAGUAUGUGUAUGUAUAGGUGUAUAUGUAUGGUCAUGUUCUAUGUGUGCGUAUGGGUGUGUGCGUAGGUAGGUGCUUACGGAUAUGGGUGUACAUCUUUCUGUCAGCCAGUUCAAUUCAACAUAAAAAAAAAGUAGGGUCAUUUCAAAGACAUUUUAUUCCCACAACUGUUAUGAAAAUCAGAAUUUGGGUGGAGCAAAAAUAGGCUAUGGCUACAUCUACAGUAGCAAGCUUAACAUGCCUAGUACUGUCCUGUGCUCCUGAAGCCAAUUGGCACCAAACAAAGUUUCCAUACUAUUAAACUCUCUUACCCUUCCAAGAAGGGUGGCCAUGUCCAAGUGCCUAUUUUGAUGGGCCUUGGCCUUUUCUAAGUAGUUCCUGGGAACUAUUUAAGAAAGUGCUAGUUUUCUCUGGUCAGAACCAUGCCAGGUAGUAUUCUCACAAUUUAACAGCAUAGUUGAUCAAGUUCCAGUGCUUGGAAACAUUCCCUAGUAUUGUUUAAUUUAGUAGUGUAGAUGCAGCUUACGUGUGCACCCAACUGAGAAGCAAGCUGUUCUGUUAAUUCUUCAUUAGACAUCAGAUUAUGCCCAGUGGAGCGAUGCUGUGAGUAUCCCAGCAGUGGGGAAAGAUUUGGUUCCCCACUCACACUGUUAGAUGUUAAAGGAGACUACUGUGUGGCACAAAUCCAUGCUGUAGUGUUUCCACUGUUCGUAGACCUGCUUGUUUCUUCAUGUCACCAACCACUUUAUCUGCUGUGGGGAAGGCACGUAAUCAAGGCUGAGGCAGAUUGAGGCAGAGAGGGGCUCUGAAGAUCACUCACACUAAAAUGGCUUGUGAUUUCCCAGAGGUAAUAUAGUCCCCUGCUGUGGUCUGAGGCUGCCUGGAAGUCAGCAGUGCAGACCUCUGGCUUCCUUAGGUGCCGUGGAUUCUUUCCAGUGAUGUAUAGACGGGGCUAUAAAGCACCUGAAAGUGCCUACUAUGCACAGAGUGGAAGCAAAUAAUCAGAUUUAUAGCUACAGAAAAAGUUGAUAGAGGUUGCAGCCCUGCCUAUGGGGGUUGGAACUAGAUGAUCUUUAUGGUCACUUUCAACUUCAGUCAUUCUAUGAUUCUGUGAUUCUGUGAUCUUAUGGUUAGAGCUGAAAAAAUUUAGAUUUGGCAGUAAUGUCACAAGAGGGACAAAAACCUAUGAAUUCUCCGUGAACAUGGAUGCCCCUCUUGUCCUUCUGGUCUCUGAGCACUCCCUCUCUUUACCUAUAGUUCUCCAGCGCUUACUGCAUGAGAAAGCUACUGUGUAACACAGCAGGAAUACCUGAAUCAGAAGCCUGUACACCACAAACACCAAGACAGACUCUUCAUCCUGAUGUACUCACAGUCCAAAACUGGAAAAGAAAAGAGCCUGAGCUGCCUUUAAAAUAAUAUCAUGGUAUCUUAAAGUGGAAGAAGUCUAGAGAAAGUUGCUUCCAGGAGCAAAACUGUGUAAAGAACUUGGUAAAAAUGCACAUAAUCAUUUGUAGGACAAUAACAGUGAGAGACCAAAACAAGAUGGUGUUCCCAAUCUGUAGUCCAAGAAACUAUCAAGCAGAAAAAGAAAGGCUUUGUGUUGAACAGCUUGAAGUCUAACUAAACAGCUCUUGCAGUGGUUUGAAGGAAAAUGUGUGAUCUAGCCAAAAUUAUAUGUCAAGUCAUUCACAAAAACAAAACUUCGGUUUCCUGACUGCCAGGCCUGUGACUAACCCAGUUGUUCAUGAUUCCUAUCAUAUGGACAAAGGUAGAUAUAGAGGCAGAAAGACAGGGAUAAAUAUCAAAGUACAUACAAAGGAGAUACUGCUGUCUGUGAGCUGAACGCUGAGCUUACCACUAUUGGGACUGAUGAAAAACUUUCCGAAAGAACAGCUUUCCAUGGGAAAAGUGAUCUGCAAGAUCAGAAAGUUUCUGGAAAAUGUCAACAUAUUUCAAAUGCAAGAGGAAAUCAUAACAAAUGGUUUCAAAUUUUCAACAUCUUUUUCUGUCACAGAUUUUUGCUUUUAAGAUAUUAAGGAAAAAUCUAAGCAGUCUAAAUAUAGGAGUAAAAAAGUUUCUGAACACUUCACUUUGUGGGUUGUUCCUGAAACACUGCUUUCCCAGGACAAUGGUGAACUCAGGCUCUGGGGAUAUACUGGGAUUUUUUUCAUCAGUCAUCUCUAGUACAACAAGGGGAAAUGUACAGCCAGGGUGCGCCAAUAAACCAACUGAUCAAACGAGCUGCACGGGGAUAUGUGGCCAUACCCUUUGCAAACAAGGCCAUGCAUGUACAUGCCAACACAAUUACUUUGCUUGGAUGUGCCAGGAGAAAAUGGAAUGUAAAGUAGUCUGUAAAUAGCUAAUAAAUCUUGCUCCCAGUGUUUUAUGUGUUUCUACCUAAGUCAGGAAGGAACUUGAUUUUUUUUUUUUUAAAGUUAAUGCAACUAGCUUAAAUGUGGUGUUUGGUGGAAGAGAGAAUGGAAAAGGUUUUGAUUGUUCUGCUGUUCCCUAGAGGGGGGUAUUAUUUCCAAAUAAAUGUUUUUAAGAGCUUCAACCGUAUUUCCAGAGGAAAACAAAUACAUCCACAAACUUAGGCAGACUCUUUCCUAUUUAGCACAGCAGUGCUCCCCAAAAAUAAUAUCAACAGAAGAAAAGACUGUGGAAGAUGAUUGAAACAACCAGUCCUACUGAUCCUCUAUCCAACUCCAUACACCGAAUAAGCUAGAGGUAAACACUCUGUGUACCUAAAAUGAAUCACUUCAUGGAAAGACUAAUUAUUUUUAUCAGAAAAUAAAGGCUGAAAUUAGACUUUUCAUUCUUCAACAGUUGGGGCAAAUCUGGGGAUAAAACUUCCUGAUCCACCUUCAUCCUUGUCCUCUGCAGAAAACAACUCCUGAGUUUUCACUGAGACUUGUAGUAGUCAGUCCCAAUAAGUCAUAAAUCCAGCAAAUAUGCUGUCUGCUCAGAACAGUUUGUUCUGAGGACUAAUUCUGUGUUGUAGUGAGCAGCACAGUCAAAAAUUGUCACAGUGGUUUAUUGGGAAGCUCUGCUGCUACUGAAGGGCUGUUUUUUAACUUUCCCUGUGAGGGGAAAAUAUGACUCUGCUAGAAGAAUGAUUCCACAAUGUAGCCUUAAAGGCUGAAUUGACUGUAAUGUAUAGUUGACUUCAGAAGCCUAAACAGUUGGUGCUCUGUCUUUCUGCCAGGACAUUCAUCUUCUCCAAAAACAUUAUCAGUCUCUGCUUGAAUGUGUGCACAGCUGUAGUGUUUGAAGACACUGGGUAAAUUAUCUUGUAAUAAAUGUUUGUAAUUGUUUUUCACUGGACUGUGACCUGACUUUAGUAACAUUUGAAUGAUGACUACUACCAACAGGAUAUCCCAACAAGUGAGAAGAUCCUGUGUCAGUGCAUUUGCUGGAGUUAGAACAGCAGAGUUUCUUUUUCCUUUAAUAUGUCUGCAAGGAAAUCAUCUGCAAUGGGGAGAAUGCCAGAGCUUAUCAGAGAGAUAGAAAAACCCGCCUAUAUUUCCUGGAUCUUCCUGAGCUUGGGAAUAUUCGUUGCAUGAUUAUGGCCUGCACUGGCAAGGUUGUGCCAGUGAAAGCAACUGAGACUUUGAAACUGCCUGGUUGGUUUCUGUGCAGUCUACAUGUUCUCUGUUUCUUUGGUACAGAUGACCCUUCAGUCAGGCUCGAGGCAAAAAGUGAAGUGAAAUCUCUGUGUUAUUUUCAUCUCUUCUCCUUUUCUUCAAAGUGGUGUGUCUCUGUAGGGAAUUCUGUUACAGUCACUCUUCUCCAAGACUCAUUAUCAUUCUCUGAUGAGCUGAGAAGAACUAGAAUGGAAGAGCCAUUAAUUAGUCUUCUUAAAAGUGAUAAUAAUAAUCUCUAUUCACCAUUUCUCCACCAAAACAAACUCAGAGAAAUAUUAUAUCAAGGAGAAUACAAGGAACUUAUGCUUGAUCUUGACCUAAGAACUUUGGAAAAGAUUUCAGGAGAGACAUACAAUGUGAUUCUUUGCAAUAGCAAAGACGGGACUCAUAACCCAAAGGGCACUUCCUUGAUUCGUAUUCCUAAAAAAGCAAGAACAGAUUUGCCCCAGUUGGAAACCUUCCUUGGUAGCAACACUGACGUCUUCCUACAAGGCCUCCAGCCAUGUGAGGGCAAAACAAUUGCAACAGGACUGUGUGAAAGUGAAGGACCUUCUACUGAACUCAUUUUUGGACUGUGCACAGGGCUUGAUAUGCAUCCAUGUAUUAAAAAAGGUCACCACAUUUGUUAGGAAAGAAAUGAAAUGUACAUCUGUGCUGUACUUAAUUGCAAAGCCAAGAGCUGUUGAAAUGCACGAAGUUGUGGAAUUUACUGUUUUGUCAGACUGGUGAAUUAAUGGCAUAGACUAAAAAAAGAUUAUAAGAAAAAGAAAUGGAUUCUCCAAAAUAGAAAUAUUCUAUUGACAUGAUUACUUAUCUAACAAGGUAAAGAA